rnacentral:rRNA from 1 species
CACAGGAGAGCUUGCUCUCUGGGUGACGAGCGGCGGACGGGUGAGUAAUGUCUGGGAAACUGCCCGAUGGAGGGGGAUAACUACUGGAAACGGUAGCUAAUACCGCAUAACGUCUUCGGACCAAAGAGGGGGACCUUCGGGCCUCUUGCCAUCGGAUGUGCCCAGAUGGGAUUAGCUAGUAGGUGGGGUAAUGGCUCACCUAGGCGACGAUCCCUAGCUGGUCUGAGAGGAUGACCAGCCACACUGGAACUGAGACACGGUCCAGACUCCUACGGGAGGCAGCAGUGGGGAAUAUUGCACAAUGGGCGCAAGCCUGAUGCAGCCAUGCCGCGUGUAUGAAGAAGGCCUUCGGGUUGUAAAGUACUUUCA